rnacentral:rRNA from 1 species
GCGCAGCAGGCGCGAAACUUCUGCAAUGCGCGAAAGCGUGACAGAGCCAUCCCAGGUGCUUCCCGCUGAGGGAAGCUUUUCUCCAGUCUAAAAAGCUGGAGGAAUAAGCGGGGGGCAAGUCUGGUGUCAGCCGCCGCGGUAAUACCAGCUCCGCGAGUGGUCGGGGUGUUUACUGGGCUUAAAGCGCCCGUAGCCGGCCCGGCAAGUCGCUCCUGAAAUCCCCGGGCUCAACCCGGGGGCGGGGGGCGAUACUGCCGGGCUAGGGGGCGGGAGAGGCCGCCGGUACUCCGGGGGUAGGGGCGAAAUCCGUUAAUCCCCGGAGGACCACCAGUGGCGAAAGCGGGCGGCCAGAACGCGCCCGACGGUGAGGGGCGAAAGCCGGGGGAGCAAAGGGGAUUAGAUACCCCUGUAGUCCCGGCCGUAAACGAUGCGGGCUAGCUGUCGGCCGGGCUUAGGGCCCGGCCGGUGGCGAAGGGAAACCGUUAAGCCCGCCGCCUGGGGAGUACGGCCGCAAGGCUGAAACUUAAAGGAAUUGGCGGGGGAGCAC